AAUUGCUAACGUUAACCGGAGCGCCAAGACUGAAAAUCAUUUGAAUUGCGUUAGUUUUGUGUUUAUGUCACUGAGUUCUGCAAAAAUCUCUUUCCUCUUUAGCUUGAAAAUUAGUGAUUCAGAGGAUCCCGAGCUGGAGGAAGAGCUUCAGGCUGCUGACGAACUCCUUCAAGAUAUGCAGGUAACAUUUUAUUUUUUAAUGUGAUGUAGUGGAAACAGUUGUUAAAAAGGGAACACGCCUGUCUAAUUUAUUGUUCGGAGUAAACGUUAUAUUAUUUGAAUUUUUUUUUAUAAAUUUUUAUAUAUGUGUAUAUAUAAGUUUAUGUGAAAUUAAGUUGGUUAACUUAAGAUGUUUGAUAAUCUUUGCUUUAAUCAUAGACUGUAUUUUAGGUGUUCCCUUUGUUCCUUGUUAAUUGCGUAGAAUGAUGCACAGAGUGUCCCCAGUGUCCAGAGAUCAGCAUCAAUGUCCACGUGAAGAACCUAGUUAUGUUGCCAGUGUCAACCCAACAAAAGUGUAUGGAACUGAGGUGCUCCGUCAGGAGCUCCUUCAGUUGUUGGAGGAUGGAGAAGAGGACGCAGCCAUGACUUGUGAGAUGGCGUCUGAGUCAGCUGCUACUCACUGGGCGAUCAGAAACAUGGUGUCCUCACAAAAGUGGAAAGAGGCCAGGCCUUGUCUUACAGACAAUAUGUUAGCUGCUCUGGAUCCACUGUCACACCGUGUGUGUCAGUGUGGCAAACAAGUAGUUGUGAGGUGUCUGGACUGCCUGCCUCUUCCGUUCCUUUGUGCUGACUGUGAUAUUGCAGUUCACACACGCUUUGUCCUGCACAACAGAGAGGCAGUAACAGGAGGGUUUUUGCAGCCUUCAUCAGAGUUUCACAAGCCAAUAGUUCAGCUGUUGCCUGUGCAAAGGCCAGACCAUGUGUGUGACUGCCCAGCAGGUAACGUUGAGGUUUCACCCGGCGCAAUUGUGGCUCUUGUAACCAUAAAUGGUAAGUUGCCCUUUUGUCACACAGUACAAACACAAUUGAUGUGUUUGCAGGUUUUAUUGCAAAUUGUGCAUUGCUAUCUUGGUUUGAAUUACCCUCGGCCCACAGUAUAUGUGGGCACCUGUCAAAGGUCAUUUGGAUUUACCAGACCGCUUUGA
rnacentral:lncRNA from 1 species